rnacentral:rRNA from 1 species
CAGGCCGAACGUUAUUGGGCCUAAGCAUCCGUAGCCGGCUCUGCAAGUCUUCGGUUAAAUCCACCUGCUCAACAGAUGGGCUGCUGGAGAUACUACAGAGCUAGGGAGUGGGAGAGGCAGACGGUAUUCAGUGGGUAGGGGUAAAAUCCUCUGAUCCAUUGAGGACCACCAGUGGCGAAGGCGGUCUGCCAGAACACGUUCGACGGUGAGGGAUGAAAGCUGGGGGAGCAAACCGGAUUAGAUACCCGGGUAGUCCCAGCUGUAAACGAUGCAAACUCGGUGAUGCAUUGGCUUAUGGCCAAUGCAGUGCCGCAGGGAAGCCGUUAAGUUUGCCGCCUGGGAAGUACGGACGCAAGUCUGAAACUUAAAGGAAUUGGCGGGAGGAGCACAAC